rnacentral:snRNA from 1 species
AGCUUUGCGCAGUGGCAGUAUCGUAGCCAAUGAGGUUUAUCCGAGGCGCAAUUAUUGCUAAUAGAAAAUAACUCCGUUUACAAUUGCAUCAAAAAAAAUACCUAAAAUUAAAUUUACUCAAGGAG